rnacentral:rRNA from 1 species
AGUGAACGCUGGCGGCAGGCCUAAUACAUGCAAGUCGAACGGCAGCACAGUGGAGCUUGCUCCAUGGGUGGCGAGUGGCGGACGGGUGAGGAAUACAUGGGAAUCUGCCCAGUCGUGGGGAUAACGUAUGGAAACGUACGCUAAUACCGCAUGCGCCCUUCGGGGGAAAGUCGGGGGACCGCAAGGCCUGACGCGAUUGGAUGAGCCCAUGUUCGAUUAGCUAGUUGGCGGGUAACGGCCCACCAAGGCGACGAUCGAUAGCUGGUCUGAGAGGAUGAUCAGCCACACUGGAACUGAGACACGGUCCAGACUCCUACGGGAGGCAGCAGUAGGGAAUAUUGGACAAUGGGCGCAAGCCUGAUCCAGCCAUGCCGCGUGAGUGAAGAAGGCCCUCGGGUUGUAAAGC